CAGCAGCCACGGGAAUACGUAGGUGGCAAGCGUUGUCCGGAAUUAUUGGGCGUAAAGCGCGCGCAGGCGGAUAGGUCAGUCUGUCUUAAAAGUUCGAGGCUUAACCCCGUGAUGGGAUGGAAACUGCCAAUCUAGAGUAUCGGAGAGGAAAGUGGAAUUCCUAGUGUAGCGGUGAAAUGCGUAGAUAUUAGGAAGAACACCAGUGGCGAAGGCGACUUUUUGGACGAAAACUGACGCUGAGGCGCGAAAGCCAGGGGAGCGAACGGGAUUAGAUACCCCAGUAGUCCCUGUCUCUUAUACA
rnacentral:rRNA from 1 species